rnacentral:lncRNA from 1 species
AUGAGUAUUUUUUUAGAAUUUUUGAUCAAUAGGAUGUAUUUUUAAAAUAAUUUUCUAAAAACUGCUAUUUAAGGAUAGUUUUCAUUUGUAUAGAGAAAUAUUGUAGAUUUGGGUUUGUGGUUUAGAAAUUAGGAUAACAAGAAUUUUUGUUGCAAUAUGAGUAUUCUUUUAGAAUUUUUGAUCAAUAGGAUGUAUUUUUAAAAUAAUUUUCUAAAAGCUGCUAUUUAAGGAAAAUUUUUAUUUUUAUAGUGUAAUAUUGUAGAUUUGGGAUUGUCAUUAAGAAAUUAGGAUAACAAGAAUUUUUUUAUGAAAGAUGAGUAUUCUCUUAGAAUUUUUGAUCAAUAUGAUGUAUUUUUUAAAUAAUUUUCUAAAAGCUGCUAAUUAAGGAAAGUUUUUAUUUUUAUAGAGAAAUAUUGUAGAUUUGGGAUUUUGAUUUAGAAAUUGGGAUAAAUAGAGUUUUUGUUGUUAGAUGUGUAUUCUUUUAGAAUUUUUGAUCAAUAUGAUGUAUUUUUAAAAUAAUUUUCUAAAAACUGCUAUUUAAGGAUAGUUUUCAAUUGUAUAGAGAAAUAUUGUAGAUUUGGGAUUGUGGUUUAGAAAUUAGGAUAACAAGAAUUUUUGUUGAAAGAUGAGUAUUCUCUUAGAAUAUUUGAUCAAUAGGAUGUAUUUUUAAAAUAAUUUUCUAAAGGCUGCUAUUAUAGGAAAGUUUUCAUUUUUAUAGAGAAAUAUUGUAGAUUUGGGAUUGUCAUUUAGAAAUUAGGAUAACAAGAAUUUUUUUUAUGAAAGAUGAGUAUUCUUUUAGAAUAUUUGAUCAAUAGGAUGUAUUUUUUAAAUUAUUUUCUAAAAGCUGCUAUUUAAGGAAAGUUUUCAUUUUUAUAGAGAAAUAUAGUAGAUUUGGGAUUGUGAUUAAGAAAUUAGGAUAACAAGAAUUUUUGUUGAAAGAUGAGUAUUCUUUU